rnacentral:rRNA from 1 species
UACGGAGGGAGCUAGCGUUGUUCGGAAUUACUGGGCGUAAAGCGCGCGUAGGCGGCUUUGUAAGUUAGAGGUGAAAGCCCGGAGCUCAACUCCGGAACUGCCUUUAAGACUGCAUCGCUUGAAUCCGGGAGAGGUGAGUGGAAUUCCGAGUGUAGAGGUGAAAUUCGUAGAUAUUCGGAAGAACACCAAUGGCGAAGGCGGCAUCCUGGACCGGCAUUGACGCUGAGGCGCGAAAGCCAGGGGAGCAAACGGG